UUAACCACUGCACCACUGGGCCAGCCCCUGUAAGCUACUUUUUAUAACUGGAUUACAAACCCUCAGUCUUCCCAGCAAAGGAUCCUAUCAUUUUCAAAUAUCUGAUCAUUAAAAACAUUAUUUCCUGAUAGAUAAGUGGACAAAGGAUAUAAUUUGAAAAUUCAUUUCAAAUAGUAUUUAUUGGGUGCCCUCUAUACAUCAGGCGCUCUUCUCAACACUAAGGAUUUAGCAAGAAGCAAAACAGACACAGCCCCCGCCCCUGUGGCCAGUUCCACCAUAUGAAUGAUCAAAUGUAUACAUAGAGAAAAACAGCAAUCACAUACUUUUCAUUAUUAGUUCUUUAAAACAAAAAGAGAAAAUGCUCGAUGCCUGCAUGUUUGUAUGAAACUGAUACUUGAUACUUUCAUAUGCUAUAAGAGGAACUGUGAUGUUAGAAUCCCCUUCUGGGAAAGGAAUUUUGCAAUAUAUAGAGAGCCUAAACUUUUUUAUUAAAAAAUCUCACUUCUGGAAAUCUUUUCUAACAGAAAAAACUUUAUGCACAAAGAUAUACAUCUCAGAAUUUUCUACAACAGUUUAAAAAAAAGGUAAGGAUGACAAUGGAAAGAAUGAAGAAAAGUCUGAGGCAUCCAUAUGAUAGACUCAAACAUAGGCUUUCAAAUAUAAUACUUAUAAAUAGUUUGUGUGGGAAAAAAGACUAUAUAAAUGGUAUAUUCAGUAUGAUCUAGGAGGAGAAAUAAUAAGAUUAUGGAUGGCUUAUUUUUCUCCUUCUGUUACAUUUUUUUUAUACUUUCUAGAUUUCUACAGCAAGAUUUUAUUACUUUGAUAAUCAGAAGAUAACUUUACCACCACCCCCCCAAUAAUGUGUUAUUUACAGAUAUAUUUGUCUUUGUGGAUACACAGCACUGAAAAUAUCAAUGUGGAGGAAAAAGUACCAGAGGCUGUGUGAGAAAUGUGUUUUAUUUUUCUCAAUUGUCACCUUGUCUCAUACUAAAGUCUGAAUAGUUCCUUCCCUUUCUUUUAUCUUAUUCAUGCUGGACUUACACAUUACAGGGCUCCCAAAAGAGCAUUUAAAAAUUAAUAUUGAUGAAAAUUUUAUCCUCUUGCCUCACAGACUAGAUUAAAGGCAACAUCUGUUAUAUAUGUAGUUGAGGGUUCAAAUUUAAAUAUCUUCGGGCAACUAGAAUUCUUCUUUUAUUCAGUAACUUUACUGUGUCCAUUACCCCACCUCCUCGCACCACCAUACCCAGGGAGCAUGGAAAUGAAUUCCAGCAAAGGGCUCAAGAAACCCUGUUAGAAACACAGGAAGAAAUUUCCUAAUUCAGCCUUGUCUUCCACAGGUUUUCCAAGAACUGUUUAUGGGUUUAUCUGGACAGAACGCUCUGUGCUUGCAAUGGCAAGGUCAAGUCAAGUGUUAAACUCGGCCAGGUCACAAGAGUGCUGGGGGGCAGUGAGGAGAGGAGGGCCUGUGAAGCUGACCAGCUGUUCUCAGGGCCUUGAGAGACUUCCGAUGACCUGACCCUCCUCUCUUUCAGUGGCUUCUGCUUGUCCUGAUGCCAGAUGCCCUGUGGCUAUUAGGAUCACUGAUUCAAACAGAAUGAAAGAGUGGGACAAAUCUUGGCUACCCAUAGAACCACCAUCAAAUAUCAAUCAGUUCCUGAUCCAUGCUGAAUCCUUAAAGAAAAGUCCUGAGUAACCCACUUUAUGUUUAACAUUGCUAUUGAGUUGGAAAUAUUACUAGGAAAGCCUAGUUCUGAAGGAUUUAGAUUAUAUAUGUCUAUUUCUUUUAUUAUUCAUACAUGUUUAUAUGUGUGCACUAUUUAACGAUUAUAUUUAGAACAAAAUAUUCUACUAUACUAUACUAUAUCAUGUUGUGUUAUGUUAUAGUAAAUAAAAUCUUUAAGAUGGAACUAAUCCAGAAUGCUUAAAUAUUUUCCAAAAGAAAACAUUUAAUUUAACUCAACUCAGGACCCUGUAUCCAAUGUACAAAAGCUCUGUGCCUUGCAUCAACUAAGUUCUACUCAACUGUUUGUAUUCAAUUGAGAAACGUGCUGGAAAGUGGAGCAGGGAGCCUUGGGGCAGUGUGCAAAAACUCUGGACUCUACCAGCUGUAGAGUUUAAGACAGACGGUUAGUCUCCACCUCUGAGUCUGUAAAAUGAGGGCAUUGAAUCAGGGGACCUCAGAGUCACCUUCCAGCUCUCUGACACAGAGAUGAUGUGCUGGGCUCUCAGGAAUUCAUGCAUCAUCCAAGGUGGUUAUUAAAGAAGGAACUUCAGGGCCCAGAUUCUCAACUCCAGCUCCAUUCCAGAUCUCUAAGCCUGUGCUGUGAUUACGGAAGUGCGUGUCCAUGACUUCAGGCAAACACACAUGUUCCAAGGGCUAAGAAUAGCAAGACACGAGGGAGGGACAGGAACCAGAGAGAAAAAGAUGGUUCUGGUGUUGUAGGCAGGGCCACACAUCAUGGAGUAGAAACACACCACUGAGAGAAGCUAUCCUUAGCAUGACUACUCCUUCCUCGUGGCCACACUGGAAGAGCCUCACCAGCUCUCCCUAGGGCAGGGCAGACCCUAACUCUGUCAUUCCUUAGCAAGGACCACUAUAAUCUGCUCUCACUGAGAGUAACCAAUCCCUCUUAUCCUCCACAAUUCUGAGGCUUGGUCAGGCUAAGAACAGCCUCCAGGGUUCAGAACUGGCCCUCGAAACUCCAGCAGCAAAAUACAUAUAGUCUUAUAACAGCUUAUCACAGUAGGGUUGUUUCUUUGUUUAACCAGCCCUUGCUGGGUAUCUUUGAUUGCCAGGAAGGUGUUGGGGAUGGAGGCAUGAAGAGGACAUGGCUCCUGCCCCCAAGGUUAUCCAUGCCUAGUAGCAAGAUCCUUAUACGUAACCAUUAACUGGCUUCUCGAUCUUAAAGCAUUUACAAUACGUAGGGUCAUCAGAGACAUGAUCAUACAGUACCUACGAUGAUGUCUUCUUAUAUCCGUAUCUUUCCUCCUGGGCCAGUUAUUAUCUUUCAAUUUGAAGCCCGCCCUUCUCUACUCUGUUUUGUGAUGCUAUAGUUGGGACCCUGCAAACUAUUUUUCUGCUCAGCCAGCUGGCUCCACGUAAGGCUCUGCUGACAGGAGGGUGAAGAGGCUGUGAGGCCAAGGGAGGAAGAACAGACUGCUCUUCCUGUGUGCUUCCUAGUCCUGGGAAUGUCACCCCAGCAAUGCUUCCUCACUCCAGUAGUGGCAGUUCCUUCCCAUAACAGUAGCUGAAUCCAGUUUGCAGUUUGCCAAACACUUAGAACCCACUUUUUGGCAUCAACCUCCAAGACACUACCACCUUGCUUCUCAGAGUCUGGGCCCCAGACUCCUUUGACCUCAGAGACACCAGCACCAGCAAGCAUAUCCAGUCUUCAGAGGGCCAAGUUUCAGUUCCACGGGGCCUGUCCUCUCAAUUUCUAAAUUCUAUUAAUUGCAACCUCUUGCAUUUGUUUCCUCAGCCCUGGCAUUGUAGCUGCUUCCUGCUGUUGCUCCCUCCAUGAUACCUUAAGAGUUCUCGUUUUGCCCUUUCGGUUACCUAGUGAACAGCUUCAAAUAAGGGCCGUGGUUUCUGUCUCCUGAUAAGACCCUGACUGAGCAGCCUCCCCUGUAAACCGAGAGGCAGGAUGGAAUCGUGGGAAACGGCCUGAGUUUCGGGGUGCCCCGGACCUGGAUUUGAAGUCCAGCUCUUGUAAUCUGCCAGCUCUUGGACCUGGAACAGGUUGGAGAUGGCAUGCCCCAACCAUCUGCAGAAGCACCUGGCGAAGGAGGAGGUAACCUGAGAGGGGAGAAAGCUGGCCUGUGUCUUGAACAGGCAUUAGGCUGAGUAAUGGAUUUUUACCUGGACACAUGGCAGCCUGAAAUAAAGACUACGCAUUUGAGUAUCCCCGCAGCUAGUUGUUUCAUUUGACUAAAUCGUGGCCGAGGAGUUACACAAGGAAACAUCAUGGUCAACUUCUAGGGAAGGUCCUUAAAUUGAAAAAGAAUUGCCUUCUUGCCCUUUUCUUUUUCUUGCUGGUUAGAACGUGGAAGGGAUGGCUAGAGCUCAAGCAGCCCUUUUGGUCCAGGAGGCAGCACACUUAAGAUGGUAGAAGAGUAAGAAGAAAGAAGCCUAGGGACAAGAAACACUGCCUUUGCCAGGCAGAGGCUACAGGCCACAUGAACAGGAUGGAGCACUCAGCCUCCUGACCUCACUUUAUUCUCCCUGCUGGGCCUCUCUUGCAAGCAGCAAUAUGAUUUGGAGAAGUGGAUAAAGGCCAAAAAGAGCCUCCCAAAACGCACAGACUUUGGAGAAUCCUGUUUGGAUCUAUGUGUCCAUGGACCUAUUGCUUUUCUGUGUUCCUCAAAGUACAAAGCACACUGGGGUUGGUGCCCUCCUGGAAUGUCACCAGGGGCUCAGUGAACUUUGCACAGCAUCCCACUUAGCUCCACCAGCAAGAUUGCUUUGCCAACCUUGGUCAGUCUUUGGGCAUAAAAGGAAAAGGUGAGAGAGGAUUUCACUUAGGAGAAAUCCAUUAUUCCAACCAAGAAAAACAAUCAAAAAAUGUUCUGUGGGUGGUAAGUUGAUACUACUACUUGGAAUUUGGGAGCACGUUUAACUUGUCGAUGGAAAAAGGAAUAUUGUCAUGUAACCCAACACUAUUACUUUGAAUAUGA